AAGUCGUAACAAGGUUUCCGUAGGUGAACCUGCGGAAGGAUCAUUAGUGAAUAUAGGACGUCCAACUUAACUUGGAGUCCGAACUCUCACUUUCUAACCCUGUGCAUUUGUUUGGGAUAGUAACUCUCGCAAGAGGGCGAACUCCUAUUCACUUAUAAACACAAAGUCUAUGAAUGUAUUAAAUUUUAUAACAAAAUAAAACUUUCAACAACGGAUCUCUUGGCUCUCG
rnacentral:misc_RNA from 1 species